GAUGAACGCUGGCGGCGUGCCUAAUACAUGCCAGUCGAGCGAACGGACGAGAAGCUUGCUUCUCUGAUGUUAGCGGCGGACGGGUGAGUAACACGUGGAUAACCUACCUAUAAGACUGGGAUAACUUCGGGAAACCGGAGCUAAUACCGGAUAAUAUUUUGAACCGCAUGGUUCAAAAGUAAAAGACGGUCUUGCUGUCACUUAUAGAUGGAUCCGCGCUGCAUUAGCUAGUUGGUAAGGUAACGGCCUACCAAGGCAACGAUGCAUAGCCGACCUGAGAGGGUGAUCGGCCACACUGGAACUGAGACACGGUCCAGACUCCUACGGGAGGCAGCAGUAGGGAAUCUUCCGCAAUGGGCGAAAGCCUGACGGAGCAACGCCGCGUGAGUGAUGAAGGUCUUCGGAUCGUAAAACUCUGUUAUUAGGGAAGAACAUAUGUGUAAGUAACUGUGCACAUCUUGACGGUACCUAAUCAGAAAGCCACGGCUAACUACGUG
rnacentral:rRNA from 1 species